rnacentral:rRNA from 1 species
AUUGAACGCUGGCGGCAGGCCUAACACAUGCAAGUCGAGCGGAGCGGCGGACGGGUGAGUAAUGCCUAGGAAUCUGCCUGGUAGUGGGGGAUAACGUCCGGAAACGGGCGCUAAUACCGCAUACUAUCAGAUGAGCCUAGGUCGGAUUAGCUAGUUGGUGGGGUAAAGGCCUACCAAGGCGACGAUCCGUAACUGGUCUGAGAGGAUGAUCAGUCACACUGGAAAUGAGAUACGGCCCAGACUACGACGGCAGGCAGGAGUGGGGGAUAUUGGACAAUGGGCGAAAGCCUGAUGCAGCGACGCCGCGUGGGGGAUGUAGGCUUUCGGGUUGUAAACCUCUUUCGCUAUCGAACCGGUAGGUGGAGAAGAAGCGCCGGCUAACUACGUGCCAGCAGCCGCGGUAAUAC